rnacentral:lncRNA from 1 species
AGUUGGAGCCAGACAGCGGGGUGGACAAGUGGCGUGUGUGCUGCGACCCCGAGGGAAGAUGAACGGGACGCGGAACUGGUGUACCCUGGUGGACGUGCACCCAGAGGACCAGGCGGCGGUAAGAAAAAGCGCUCUCGCUGUCUUCUCCGUUUUGUAUUCCCGGUUUCUAAGUCCGCCCCUUCCGUGCCCCGCGCCGUGUUGGCUGACAUCACCUGGUGCCCGGCUCGCGCGGUCAGCCCUGCGCGGCGCUUCUCUCUUUUUAUUCUUUUGCCUGCGACGGGCAGUGGGAGUCGCGGGGUGAAGACUCCUUUGAGGCUGGAGGGUUCGGGGCGUCCCUGCCCUUUGGUAGGACACUGCGGCUCCUGCCUGGGACUCGGCGCCGGCGAGCCCGUGCUUGGGCCGCGGGUCUCAGGCGUCUUUUGGGCAGCCACAUUGGGUCAUAAGAGAAUGAGCUCAAGCGACUGGGUCCCUGAGCGCCUUUGGACGUUGUGUCCUGCCGAGGAGGCUUAGGCUUUCCCGUGGGUCGAGGGUCCUGGUGACCUCCGAGGCCCUCCAAAGAAUUUCAUCAUGGUGCUUUGGAUGAUCAGUAACAAGAAAAAUGAAAUUCUGGAUUGAGGAUGAGCAGUCCAGGAAUGACCUCUCUACAACUAGAGAAAGAAGAAUGCAUGCAAUGUGUUCCCUGUAGUCCAAGAACCAGGGUAGCCCUGCUGGAGCUCUACAGAGCCAUGUGCCA